UUCUAUGAACAACCCACAUUCUUCCAAAAGGUGGGGGUUUCCCCUUAUAUUUGAUAGAACUGAUUUCUGUUGCUUGUAACUCAACACUGUGACACGGACUAGCGAUGCUGAGUUUAGAAGGUGGUGGUUACUGGGCAACAGAGGGAAGGAAAUUACUAAUGACAUUGGCUUUGGCUUCCUUUGGCAGCUGUUUUAAAAAGUUUGGCUGGAAAUACUGGAAUGGAUAUAACUCCUUGUCAAUGAAAUCAGGCUGGAAACAGGAUAAUAAGUUUAUCGCCAUAAGAAGUGAUUAAGUAGGGCCAGGAGAUAAAUGGAUAGAUAACACACAGAUGACAGACGAAGGGGAAAGACGGUAAAUCCUGGGAACGUAAGUUUUUCAUGACACUCUAAUUUCAUUUGGUUUGGGCUCUGGGAUUUGUUUUGUUUUCUUUUUGUUUGAUGGGGCGGUGGGUGUUGAGAUGAAGUUUUGUUUUGUAGCCCAGGCUGGCACUGAACCUACAGUCCUCAUAUAGAAUCCUAGGACUGAAGGCAUGUGUCAGCUUAGGCUUGGCUUUCAUUGUGAGAGCCAACUCUUACCUAAAUGUUUGAUAUUUAAAUGCCUGUGAUAAAGAUAACAUUUAGUAAUUGCAUUUUAAUUUCCUUUAUUGGUAAGAUCAUAAGCCUACCAUAUUGCAUGGACCCUGGAUCUCCUCCUAGGCAAAUCCCCUGGCCUCUCUGAAGUCAGACACACACCGAAGGCAAGAUAAUGCCAAGCAAACUUAGCCCCAGCUCCAAGAUUCCCUAAGGGAGACUUUUCUGGCUGGUUGACUUGAAUUGGGUAACUACAGACCAGAGAGAUUCAGCACUGUGGACAGAUCUGAGGCUGGGCAGGGCAGUAUUCUGCAGGUCCAGGGACCUAGAUUUAAGUGUAUAAAAUCCAGGCAUUGCUAUCAGUCUCAAUGUAAACUCGACUCCAGGCUGAAUACCUGAAUUAAUGACUUCAAAUCUCCAUUUAAUGAAAUAUUCAGAUUGUGAUUGCACUCAGUUUCAUUAACUGUAAUUCUCAGGCUAAUGUAAUGAGAUUUUCUUUCAACUUGUAAUUAACUUUAUUGAGAAUGCUUACUGGGAUUUUUUUUUAAGGCAGGUUUCCUCGAACCUUACUGCAAAUUAUUUUAAUGUAUGUAUCAUGGUAUUAAGUAUAUUACUUAUUUUUUGUUAGCUGUUAAUUUCCAAAGAAGCAAAAGAUCUGUAUUAAUCUCUUCUAGGGGGAGACAGAAGGUUUGCUGAGUGAAGGAAGCCCUCUAACCAGGAAAUAAUCCUGGUUGCUGAUUCUGAAAUCCAGGCUUCCUCUGUCAGACUUGGCAUUCUUAUUAUUUUUCUACCAAAACCAUUAUGAUCCUAAUCAAAAAAGCUCCUUUUUUAUGCAAUUUGCAAUAUAAAAAUAAAAAUUCUUCAGAUUUUCAAAAACUGUUUUCUGUAGCUCAAAGUCCUCCCUUCAGUCAAAGGCGAACACUGUCGAAGUGUUCUGCUUUUCCUCCUCUGUUUUCUUGGAAAGUCACUGGGGAGUAUGUUUCUGGCAGAACAAAUAUUAUCAAUUUCUCAGGAAAAGAUGUCCUUGCUCAUCUCUGCCCCCAUGUUCUGGGGAGACCUCCUGCUUGUUUGCAAGGUACUCUUCCCGGCCACCACCAUUGCUUUCCUCGUCUCCUGCUCCUUACUGUAUUGUAAGAGCCAAGAGGAUAUACCCGAGAAAGGCUCCCCACACGCAUGUCUCCCAUUGUUGCCUAGAGAGAAGUUUUAAAUGCCAGCUGAAAGUUGAUUCAAAGGAAAUAUUAAUUACUGGCAAGUAAUGUCAGAAAUGUCUGGUACUCCAGAACAAGACUGGUGACUUUAUUUAAGUGGGUUUAUUUUCAAAAAUGAGGCUAACCUAAUGCUGCAAUUCUUAACAUCAAUCAAUAAGGUAAAGAAAAAGAAAAGAAACACAGCCCUGAUAUAAUACGCAGCAAGGGCUCCUGGGAAAAGCACAAGAAAGGAUGUGACCAGAGUGUAAGAUUUGUAACUCAGUACAUGAGUGUAGUGGCCAGAGCCCAAGCUCCUUGCCUGGUGUCUCUGGCCAUGGGCAGGUCAGUCAAAGCCUCUGAGCCAGUUUCCUCAUUGAUCUGUCAUUGCUGCAAACACAUUUUUAUUAUUUCAUGGUGCUCUUGAGGGGAGGUAAAAUGAACACACGUUGUAGGUGACACACAAAUGGAUCUGCUUCACUUGUGACUCCUAGCACAUCAAACACAUAGCAAGUGUACCCCUCCCGCAUCCAAACAUGAAGGCAGAAAUAUUUUCCCAAAGCAAUAAUGUCACUGCUGUGCAAGAAGCAUGACUUGGCAUCUCUGAAACUCAACCGCAGGGUUGAGCCUUUGGGCUUUCUUUACAGAGAGUCCUACAGGCAGUUGGAAAAGCAGCGCAAGGCUUAUGUGACCAUAUUAGAAGAAAGAUUUGGAAAGAACUUACAGAAGGUAAUUUUUUUCCUUUUAGGGCUCCAUCUUUUUUUUUAAUUUUUUAUUAGAUAUAUUUAUUUACUUACAUUUCAAAUGUUAUUCUGUUACUAUUGCUGUGAUGAAAUACCAUGACCAGAGCAACUCGGAGAGGAAAGGGUUUAUUCAGUUUAUGCUUCCACAUCACCGUUCAUCACCAAAGUCAGGACAAGAACUCAAGCAGGGCAGGAACCUGGAGGCAGGGGCUGAAUCAGAGGCAGAGGCCAUGGAAGGGUGCUGCUUAUUGGCUUGUUCCACAUGGCUGGCUCAGCCUGACUUCUUCUAGACCCUUUGACCAACUGCCCAGGGAUGGCACCACCCACAAUGGACUGUGCCCUCCCCCAUCAAUUACUAAUUUAAAAAAUGCCCCACAGGCUGGCCCACUGCCUGAUCUAAUGGAAGCAUUUUCUCAGUUAGGGCUCCCUCCUUCAAUGACCCUAGCAUGUCAAGCUGACAUUAAGCUAGUCAAUACAGGCUCUGUUUCUUUGUUGACAGCACAUGCCCUGUACAUGAACACACACACACACACACACACACACACACACACACACACACACGUUGUCAACCAACACAGAGAAUGAAAACAUUGCUAACAACAUCUGUCCAGUGAAUGCAUCCCCGUCCACACAGACACUCUCUAGUAAACAGACAAGUAGUCGUGUUUCUAUAACCAGGCAUGCGUGGUGCUACACUCCUUGCGUAUGCCCAUUCUCUGUACUCCUUUUGUAGUAUAGAAAAGAGGUUCAGAAUUCUAGUACCCGUUCCAAGCAUGCACAGCUGCUAAGGGAUGGAUCAAAGCUCAGGUCCCAGCUGUCCACCUCUGAGAUCCAGACCCUCCGUGGCUCCCUACACUCCCACACACUCACUUAGACAUGUUUGAUAAGAGAUCUCCCUGUGUGGCAGGCCUCUCAGUGGCACUGUUUACCCCAGACAGUAGAUCUCUCAAGCUCAAGCUGCUUGGAGUCACUACAGGCCUCUGAGUGAUUUUCCUAAUGCAGCACAGAUCCCUUCCGUUAGCUGCUUAACAGUCGAUGACACCCCAGGGCCUCCAGAGUGGGAUGGGACAAGCCGUGCACCUUUCCAAGGCAGCGAAGACUUUAGAUUUCAGGAACAACUUAGUAUGUGUGACAUCGUAAAAGUUAGACCCUCCCCUCAGAUAGAAUGAGCCAAGCUCUAUCAGAGCUGGCUAUCUAUGAAAGCCCCUUACUGUCCACCCAACUGGGUGGUUAUUGAGCUUGUGCUAGACUCCCAUACAUGCACUCAUCCAGCAAGUGUCUAUGAACAUAGUACACUGUCUAAGCACUAGGGAUACAGGGACAAACAGAGCAAGAGCAUCCGUGCUCACCCUCCACCUCCCAUGACUUACAGACUCUGCCCCACCACAAUACCCAAAAGGACCCAAGAAUACCAUCUACCUUGCCCAGCUAAUUGAUUUAGAAUCAGACAACCGAUCCAGAGGAAACCCAGAAGCCAGAGACCAACAUUUGUGUGUGUGGUCCCAUCCCCCUAACACCCAUCAAGAAUGAGGUAUUUCCCUGAGCUGUUGUUGGGUUUCACAAUGUCCCCCUUGGCCUCAUGUUUGGACAUUCUAUUUAGGGAGCUUAUGGAACCUUAGGAAGUCAGGCCCAUGUGGGAGAAGACUUUGAAGGUUGCACCUGUCCCUGAUUCCUGCCUCACUCUUUGCUUCCUGGUCCAUGAAGUGAACAACACCUGGCAUAUACACUCCCAUGGCUGUGUGCUUCUGCCACCACAGACUGAGCCUCUCUACAUGUGUUUCCUACAGCAAUGGGGCUGAAACUCUCUGAGGCCAUGAAGAAUUGUUUUUUGCUUUUCUGAAGUCAUUUCUGUCAGAUGGAUGAACCAAGAUGACUUUAGACAGAACAACUUGCCAUAAAGAAAAUCCUGGUGACACAGGAGCAGCAUGUGACUUGAGGCCAGAGAUGAGCAAGGAGGUCUGGCUAAGGACACAGUGAGUCCUGCCAAGGGAGAAGCCCCGGGGACAGUGUGCUGGGAACAAAGCACCACAGAGGUAAGGAGCCUGGGGCAGAAAUGGGUGUGGCUAUCUGAGGGCUGUUUUGAGUUCUAACUGAGUUAAUGCAUUCACAGCACUUAAUGCAGUACCCAGCAAGUGCUCAAUAAAUGUCAGGGUUCUAAAGGAGACCUCCCUACAAGAUGCCAAGUUGGAUGCAUAGCCUAAAACAGCCCUUUCCUGUGGCAUCAAAGGGGCUUUCGUUCCUUUAGUAUAUCCUUCAAAACGCUCAUUCCCAGAGGGACACCCACUUGUUCUGCAAACACCUGCAACACAAGAGAGAUCAAACAGUGUUAAUCGCACCCUCAGGGCCUCACUGGCUGGGUUUCUGUGGGACUCAGUGGUGUAGAUCAGUAAUGCUGGCUACUAUGGAGGUGGCUCAGCCAGUUCUCAAGCUUGGAGUCCUACUGGCUUCUCCAACUCCAGCUCUCAGUUCCUUAAACACACCCUUCAAAAUGUCCAUUUCCAAAGGCACACCCACAUACAUCUCAGAAUGAAAGAUAAAGGGAUCUCAAGAUGACUUUCCAUGAUAGAGAGUGAGCUCACCAUGUGUGAGGGAGGACAUAGGUUCAACCCUCAGCUCUAGGGAAAAAAAAAUCAGUUCUACUGAUCCAUAAUUAUGGAAAUGUUGCAUCAUUAAAGUUUUUAAGGCCCAGUUUCCUGUCCUAACAAUGACAAAAACCUAUAGGUUUUGAGAGAACUCAGCGUGUUUGGGAAUUUACACUGCCACCUGUCCAAGUCUCUCAUAACAUUACACUACUCUACAUACACUUUACUCUCGAACACUGAUAUCUAUAUUGAUUCCUGGCUAGGAAAUCCCUCUGCCACCUACAUAUUACAAAGUUUCUGAAAACAUCUAUGUCAAAAUUUCCAAAAGUCAAGGUUGGGCAUCCUAUCCCUGCCUUGGUGAAUAUGGGCAAUUGAGAGAGGGCCUGAGCAUGAACUGCUCUCAGUUUUGUGUCCACUUCUUAGUUUGUGAGAGACACGUUUAAGGAUCGAUUUGGGAAGGAGGCUUGAUGGGGCCAGAACACAAGGGGCUUUUCUUAUAUAUUCCAUGUCUUAAAAUGGAAUGAAGUCAAUAUUUGUCCUCAGUAUUGAGUGAAAUCUCACUUACAUAGAUGAUGAUGAUGAUGAUGAUGAUGAUGAUGAUGAUGAUAAUAAAAUAAGUACUAGUAGUAGUAUAUUAGUACUGGUAGUAAUAAGGCUGGGAAGAUGACCCAGUGGGUAAAGUGCUCUCUGCACAGGCACAGAUGUUCAAGUUCAGAUCCCCAGCACACCUGUAAAAACUGAGCAUGUGGGUAGGAAGAGGAGCAUCAUGGGAAACCACUGGCCAACCAACCUAACCAAAAGGGAAAGGGCCAGGUUCAAUGAGACUGUCUCAAAAAUAAGAAAGAGGAAAAAAAGAAAGAAAGAUGGAAAGAUGGACAGA